rnacentral:rRNA from 1 species
GACGAACGCUGGCGGCGUGCCUAAUACAUGCAAGUAGAACGCAGUUGCGAACGGGUGAGUAACGCGUAGGUAACCUGCCUCAUAGCGGGGGAUAACUAUUUGAAACGAUAGCUAAUACCGCCUCCUGUGAGAUGGACCUGCGUUGUAUUAGCGAGUGGGUGAGGUAAAGGCUCACCAAGGCGACGAUCCAUCGCCGACCUUAGAGGGUGGUCGGCCAAACUUGGACGGAGACACGGCCCAGACGCCUAAGGGAGGCAGCAGUAGGGAAUCUUCGGCCAUGGACGGAAGUCUGACCGAGGAAAGCCGCGUGAGUGAAGAAGGUUUUCGGAUCGUAAAGCUCUUGUGUGAGAGAAGCGGUACCUAAACAGAAAGGGACGGCUAACUACGUGCCAGCAGCCGCGGUAAUUC